rnacentral:rRNA from 1 species
GCCGACAGCUUGCUGUUGGUGGAUGAGUGGCGAACGGGUGAGUAACACGUGAGUAACCUGCCCCUGAUUUCGGGAUAAGCCUGGGAAACUGGGUCUAAUACCGGAUACGACCAACCCUCGCAUGAGGGUUGGUGGAAAGUUUUUCGAUCGGGGAUGGGCUCGCGGCCUAUCAGCUUGUUGGUGGGGUAAUGGCCCACCAAGGCGACGACGGGUAGCCGGCCUGAGAGGGCGACCGGCCACACUGGGACUGAGACACGGCCCAGACUCCUACGGGAGGCAGCAGUGGGGAAUAUUGCACAAUGGGGGAAACCCUGAUGCAGCGACGCAGCGUGCGGGAUGACGGCCUUCGGGUUGUAAACCGCUUUCAGCAGGGAAGAAGCGAAAGUGACGGUACCUGCAGAAGAAGUACCGGCUAACUACGUGCCAGCAGCCGCGGUAAUACGUAGGGUACGAGCGUUGUCCGGAAUUAUUGGGCGUAAAGAGCUCGUAGGUGGUUGGUCACGUCUGCUGUGGAAACGCAACGCUUAACGUUGCGCGUGCAGUGGGUACGGGCUGACUAGAGUGCAGUAGGGGAGUCUGGAAUUCCUGGUGUAGCGGUGAAAUGCGCAGAUAUCAGGAGGAACACCGGUGGCGAAGGCGGGACUCUGGGCUGUAACUGACACUGAGGAGCGAAAGCAUGGGGAGCGAACAGGAUUAGAUACCCUGGUAGUCCAUGCCGUAAACGUUGGGCACUAGGUGUGGGGGACAUUCCACGUUCUCCGCGCCGUAGCUAACGCAUUAA